rnacentral:rRNA from 1 species
AUGAAGCGGCACCGUCAACUACCAGCUGAUGACACCGACGAGCUGUACGAGGCGGACGGCAGGGAGAGGCUGCUCUCCGGUGUCUCGACAAGGCAGCGAUUGUGGAACAUGAAGGUGAGGGGCGUUGCGGCUGGCAACGGUGACGCAAGUGGAGGAGACGAAGCUGGUGGUGGCGAUGGUGCCCAUCUGGGUGGCCACGCUCGAUCCCGUUCGGCAUCGCAGGUGUCCACCUUCUUCAUCAAGCAGGCCAGCGCCAUGGACCGCCACCUCGGCCCACACUUGGUGCUCCCGCCGGCGGCGCUGGGGGCGUCAGGAGCAUCGUAG